rnacentral:lncRNA from 1 species
UCGGCCUUAUAAAACAUAUUAUAAAGGUCUUAUUUAUUUAACAAAUCUUAUAAUCAAUUUCUUUUAACUCAAUUCAGAGAAACUCAAACCUCUAUAUAUCACACAGGUUUUCAGCAGUAUCAUAUUUUUUUCUUCAGUUCUCCAUAUUGUUUUUUUUAAAACUUUUUUCAUUUUUCUUAAAUAUACCGCCACGCCAACAAAAGAUGUGUAAUAUAAAGGCUAGAGUUUUUUUGGGGGAAAUUCUAAUAUUUUGAUAUCUCAGCAUAAUUUCAACUUAAUUUUGGUGGUUACUUAAAAAGAAACAUAAUAAUUUAAUAAACAUAUAUAAACAUUUAUAACUUAUUAAUUAGGGACUUUUUAACAGUAAAGUAGUAAGCCGAUUCUUCACAGGAUUCGGGAUGUAGUUAAAUGCAAUAAGUCAUCUGCAGACUUCAUUUCUGGGAACAUGUAUAUUUAGAAAAUACAGGAAAUGGAUCAUCAGCCCUUAAAAACAUCCUUAUUUUUUAAAUGUCUAAUUUAAAGUCAAAUUAUAGUAAGAGAAGCUCUAACCUCUACAUCACAAAACUCUCAGCAGAACUACUCUCAGCAGAACUGUCUUCUUUGUACAACAUAUGAU